rnacentral:rRNA from 1 species
UACGUAGGUGGCAAGCGUUGUCCGGAUUUACUGGGCGUAAAGAGCGCGCAGGCGGCCGUAUAAGUCGAAUGUGAAAGCCCCCGGCUCAACUGGGGAGGGUCAUUCGAUACUGUUCGACUCGAAGGCAGGAGAGGGAAGUGGAAUUCCGGGUGUAGUGGUGAAAUGCGUAGAUAUCCGGAGGAACACCAGUGGCGAAGGCGACUUUCUGGCCUGUUCUUGACGCUGAGGCGCGAAAGCUAGGGGAGCAAACGGG